AAAGAUGAUCACUUACAACUCUCUGAUCCUCAGCAUCAUCAUCAUCCUCCUCCUCCUUCAUUUAAUAAUGGGGGAGGGUUGUUAAACUCUCCAUACCCCUCCUCCUCCUCAAAACGAGUAAGAUC
rnacentral:ribozyme from 1 species